rfam:Oryza barthii chromosome 3, whole genome shotgun sequence.
CCACUGGAUGAUGAAGAACUGAUCGCCUACAUCCUCAACGGCCUCGACAAAGAUUUCGACUCCGUCGUCUCCACAAUUGUUGGCAGGGUUGAACCUGUCACGGUUGCGGAAGUCUACUCACAACUUUUAAGCUUUGAAA